rnacentral:misc_RNA from 1 species
GAUGAAGAACGUAGCGAAAUGCGAUAAGUAAUGUGAAUUGCAGAAUUCAGUGAAUCAUCGAAUCUUUGAACGCACAUUGCGCCCCUUGGUAUUCCGAGGGGCAUGCCUGUUCGAGCGUCAUUAUAACCCCUCAAGCUCAGCUUGGUGUUGGGGCCUGCUGCACUGGCAGCCCUUAAAAUCAGUGGCGGCGCCAUCUGGCUCUAAGCGUAGUAAUUCUUCUCGCUAUGGAGUCCUGGUGGAUGCUUGCCAUCAACCCCCAAUUUUUCUAUGGUCGACCUCGGAUCAGGUAGGGAUACCCGCUGAACUUAAGCAUAUCAAUAAGCGGAGGA